rnacentral:rRNA from 1 species
GCGUAAUAGCUCACUAGUCGAGUCGGCCUGCGCGGAAGAUGUAACGGGGCUCAAACCAGGCAGCGACGCCGCGGAUUCACACUAGGUGUGUCUGGUAGGGGUGCGUUCUGUAAGUCGGCAGAGGCGUCACGAGCGGCAUACUGGAGAUAUCAGAAGUGCGAAUGCUGACGUAAGUAACGAUAAAGGGGGUGAAAAGCCUCCACGCCGGAAGACCAAG